UGACCCCAGGUCAGGCAGAAUUACCCGCUGAGUUUAAGCAUAUCAAUAAGCGGAGGAAAAGAAACUUACCAGGAUUCCCCUAGUAACGGCGAGCGAACUGGGAAAAGCCCAGCUUGAGAAUCGGUCGCCAUCGACGUCCGAAUUGUAGUCUGGAGAAGCGUCCUCAGCGGCGGACCGGGCCCAAGUCCCCUGCAAAGGGGCGCCGGAGAGGGUGAGAGCCACGUCGUGCUCAGACCCUGUCGCACCAAGAGGCGCUGUCUACGAGUCGGGUUGUUUGGGAAUGCAGCCCUAAUCGGGCGGUAAAUUCCGUCCAAGGCUAAAUACGACAAGAGACCGAUAGCGAACAAGUACCGCGAGGGAAAGAUGAAAAGGACUUUGAAAAGAGAGUCAAAGAGUGCUUGAAAUUGUCGGGAGGGAAGCGGAUGGGGGCCGCGGAUGCGCCCCGGUUGGAUGUGGAACGGCGAGAGCCGGUCCGCCGAUCGGCUCGGGGCGUGGACCGAUGCGGGUCGUGGCGGCGGCCCAAGCCCGGGCAUUCGAUACGCCCGUGGAGACAUCGUCGCCACGAUCGUGGGACUCAGCACGCGCCAUCUCGGCGUGCUUUGGCACCUGCGUGCUCCGGGCGUCGGCCUGCGGGCUCCCCAUUCGGUUCGUCUUGAAACACGGACCAAGGAGUCUGACAUAUGUGCGAGUCAACGGGCUAGAAAACCUGUAAGGCGCAAGGAAGCUAAUUGGUGGGAUCCCUCGCGGGUGCACCACCGACCGACCUUGAUCUUCUGAGAAGGGUUCGAGUAAGAGCAUGCCUGUCGGGACCCGAAAGAUGGUGAACUAUGCCUGAGCGGGGCGAAGCCAGAGGAAACUCUGGUGGAGGCCCGCAGCGAUACUGACGUGCAAAUCAUUCGUCUGACUUGGGUAUAGGGCGAAAGACUAAUCGAACCAUCUAGUGUCACGGACUUAGAGUUUUCUCACGGAUCCGUGCGGCCUUAGGCAGUUUCUUUCUCAAAAAUGCCUAAGUCAGCCUAACUUGCAGUAAUAAAGGAUUCAACAGUAAAAAUGCCUAAGUCAGCUUAACUCGCAACAAUAAAGGAUUCAACAGAAUUCCCUUAAGGUUUCCACGAAGAACAACAGAAGAACGAAGUAAGAACGAGCCUUGAAAUAUGAACAAAAGCAAGAACACUUGAGAGAAAAGUUUGAGUGAAUACUCUCAAAAUUCUUAUUAACAACUGAAUGAAUUACAAUGAACAGAGAGUCCUCUAUUUAUAGUUGAGGCUCUCCAAAAUCAACGGUCUAAAUCAAAAUACAUCAAUGGCUACAAUUAAAAGCUAUCACAAUAUCAAAUCUCUAAGAUUACAUAAUCGUAUCUUCUAAAGAUUUCAUUUAAUAUCUAGGAUCACAUAUCUCAAAAGAUCACCAUCCAUAUUUUCCAAGCAUAUCUUCAAAAGAUCACUUUCCUUAUUUGCCAAGCUCCGGAGAUGGGCUUUUAAUUCCUCCAAGGAAUGGACCAGUCCAGUUGGGCCAAAUGACCUCCCUCGAAUGCGAUGGAUCGCAUGAAUCCAUCAUGGUUGCGAGAUCCCAUGUGCAACCCAAGACAUUCUCCCCCACUUGUUCUAGCGACGCCCUCGUCGCGUCCUCCUCAUGGAACUGGUCAAUUUUUCCUUGGAACUGCCACGAUGCCUCGGCAGGUUCCCAACUUGCUUCGCUAUUAGGAAGUCCCUUCCAUCGAACUAAGUAUUCAUGACGCGGUCGAUGGUACUUUUGUCUAAUCACACGGUCUGCCUCAAUGGUUUCCACAUCGCGGUCAUAAGAAACCGUUACCCCAUUGGUGCUCGUUCAGACUUGCCCCGAUUCAGAUCGUCUUGGUCUCAAUGAAAUGGCUUAAGCAUACUUACAUGGAACACUGGGUGGAUUUUAAGUUUUGGAGGCAACUCAAGCUUGUAUGCCACUUUGCCCACUCUCUUAACAACUUUAAAUGGCCCCUCAUACCUUCGCACGAGCCCUUUGUGCAAGCCCGUAUAUCACAACAUCAAGUGUAGUUUGGCAAGGACUGAGUCACCCACUUGAAAUUGCAAGUCUCUUCGGUUUUGAUCGGCCCACUUCUUAUUGCGCUUGGUUGCCUUGUGUAAACAAGCCCUAGCCAAGUCAUUCUUCUCUUGCCAAUCCUUCGCAAAACGAUAAGCUGCCAGAUUUGGUCCUGUAUAACGAGUUACCACAGCAUUGGGUGUGAGUGGCUGUUGGCCCGUCACUAUCUCAAACGGACUUUGGUUCGUUGCCCCACUUCGCUGCAAGUUAUAUGAGAAUUGAGCCACAUCCAAUAACUUUGGCCAAUCCCUUUGUGUGGUACUCACAUAGUGUCGCAGAUAUGUUUCCAACAAUGCAUUUACUCUCUCAGUUUGCCCAUCGGUUUGCAGAUGCAUACUCGUGGAAAAGUUCAAGUCUGAGCCCAUUGACUUGAACAACUCAGACCUGUGAAUCACCCAUCUCGAUCACUGACAAUCGACUGUGGCACGCCCCAAUAUUUUACCACAUCUUUAAGGAAUAAACGAGCUGCCUCCUCAGCAGGACAUUCCUUGGUGGCUGGAAUGAACGUCGCAUACUUCAAGAACCUGUCCACCACAACAAGAAUACUCGCAAACCCGUCAGACUUAGGUAAACCAACAAUAAAAUCCAUGGAUAAACUCUCCCAUGGUCUUUCCGGAAUGGGCAAGGGUUGAAGCAAACCGACUGGGGUCUUUAACUCAACCUUGUCUUGUUGGCAAACCAGACAAGUCUUCACAUAAGUUUCCACAUCAUCACCCAUGUGAGGCCAAUAAUAACAUUCCUCCAAAAGGGCCAAAGUACGGUGCAUCCCUGGGUGGCCCGCCCAUCUCGAGUCAUGGCACUCUUUCAUGACUUCCUUACGUAGCUUCCCAUAAUGAGGCACAUAGAGGUGACGCCCUUGGGUGUAUAGCAGCUCUCCAUCAAGCCAAAAUCUUCUCGUUUUUCCCUCCUUGGCCAACUCCGUCAGAUUUUUGGCUGUGGGAUCAUGGGACAAUCCUUCUCGAAUACGUUCCAACAAGGAACCAUCAGGUUGGCUAAUUGCCGCAAAUUCCAUCUUUCAACUCAGUGCGUCGGCCACAAUGUUGGCACUCCCCGGCUUAUACUCCAUGGUAAAGUCAAAUUCAGCUAAGAAGACCUGCCAACGAGCCUGUUUGGGAGACAACUUUUUCUGGGUUAGAAAAUAACUGUUGGCAACAUUAUCAGUAAGGACAACAAACCUAGAACCCAAUAAAUAAUGCCUCCAAGUGCGCAAGCAAUGCACCACCGCAGUCAUCUCCUUCUCUUGGACCGUAUAUCUUCGCUCCGUCUCAUUAAGCUUUCGACUCUCGAAAGCAAUAGGAUGUCCAUCUUGCGUUAGGACUCUCCCGAUAGCAUAAUCUGAUGCAUCUGUGUGUACCUCAUAUGGCCUCAAAAAAUCUGGCAAGGCAAGCACAGUUUCCUUCGUCAUCUCUUGCUUCAAUUGAUUAAAGGCCCUCUCACAUUCCGGAUUCCAAUCCCAUACCUUCCCUUUUUUUAACAUGUCCGUCAAGGGUGUGGUAAUUCUCGAGUAGCCUUUAAUAAAGCGUCGAUAGUAAUUUGCCAACCCAAGAAAAGAUCUCAACUCUGUCACCUUGGUUGGGGGCUCCCACUCGGAAAUGGCUCGAACCUUGCUCUUAUCCAUUCGGAUCUUACCCCCUCCCAC
rnacentral:ncRNA from 1 species